UUUUCCUUCCCUUAUUUUGGGUUCAAUGAGAACAUUUUAUUAUGAACUGUAGGUACUUGCUGUGAAGAAACUUGAAAAGAGAGUUUGUGAUCACCAGGAGGAGGAGGAUUUUCUUGAAUUAGUGAAUGGCAUUGAUAGAACACGACAUGUAACAAUCGUCAAGUUUAUUGGGUACUGUUCAGAGCGUGGUCAAAGGCUUCUGAUAUACGAGUAUUGCAGUAAUGGAUCACUCAAUGAGGCACUCCAUCAGAGGAUGAAUUUAAAACAAGACUCACAUGGAAUGCUUGCAUCCGGAUAGCACUUGGGGCGGCUAGGGCCCUAGAGUAUUUGCAUGAGCAAGAGCAAUGUCAGCCGGCUGUGAUUCACAGAAAUUUCAAGUCUGCUAACAUUCUUGUUGACAAUGACCUAUAAAAAGCAUGUAGAUCAAUCAGUUCUAAAGAUAAAAAUUUUUGAAAAAGAAGAGGGGCAAAUUAUGAUAAAGAGGCAAAUACACUUUCUGUUGAGGAGGAUGUAGACAUACAGUUGUCUAAAGUCACAAUAUAAUUGAAACAUCGAAAGAUGUUGAGGUACUUGAAAUUUGUCAAAAUGAUAAGAUCUUAAUAAAUUUUAAUAAAUUUUGUCUUUAUAGGAGAAAA